CGCUAAAGGCCGUGAUCUUUAGCGGCGUUUGUGUAAAAGCGCCGCUAAAGGUCAUGACUUUUAGCGG
rnacentral:pre_miRNA from 1 species